rnacentral:tRNA from 1 species
GGGCUCGUAGUCGAAUGGUAAGACGCCUCCUUCACACGGAGGAGAUCAGGAGUUCGAUUCUCCUCGAGCCCA